GUGCAUCGUGGCGUCCGGGACAUAGAGUGGACUGAGACUUUCUUUGGAGUUCUGGUGAUCUUUGGAUUUCUGCUUGUGACUGUGUUAUGGACAGCUUGGGACCUGACUCCGUGGCCAGUUCCUCUGGAGGAAGAGUGGCUCCUGACCGGCAAAAUAAAAUUCUUGUUCGGACUCUAUCACGGUGUAGUGUCUUGA